rnacentral:rRNA from 1 species
UACGUAGGGUGCGAGCGUUGUCCGGAAUUAUUGGGCGUAAAGGGCUCGUAGGCGGUUUGUCGCGUCGGGAGUGAAAACCAUGGGCUUAACUCAUGGCUUGCUUUCGAUACGGGCAGACUAGAGGUAUGCAGGGGAGAACGGAAUUCCUGGUGUAGCGGUGAAAUGCGUAGAUAUCAAGAGGAACACCUGAGGUGAAGACGGGUUGCUGGGCUGACACUGACGCUGAGUGCGCGAAAGCCAGGGGAGCAAACGGG